rnacentral:rRNA from 1 species
CAGCCGCCGCGGUAAAACCAGCAGCCCAAGUGGUGGUCGCGAUUAUUGGGCCUAAAGCGCUCGUAGCCGGGCCGGUAAGUCCCUUGUGAAAUCGGACGGCCUAACCGUUCGGCGUGCAAGGGAUACUGUCGGUCUUGAGGCCGGGAGACGUCCGAGGUACUCCGGGGGUAGCGGUGAAAUGUUCCAAUCCUCGGGGGACCACCGGUGGCGAAGGCGUUCGACGAGAACGGGCCUGACGGUGAGGGGCGAAGGCUAGGGGAGCAAACGGGAUUAGAUACCCGCGUAGUCCCUGUCUCUUAUA